rnacentral:rRNA from 1 species
GAUGAACGCUGGCGGCGUGCCUAAUACAUGCAAGUCGAGCGAACAGACGAGGAGCUUGCUCCUCUGACGUUAGCGGCGGACGGGUGAGUAACACGUGGAUAACCUACCUAUAAGACUGGGAUAACUUCGGGAAACCGGAGCUAAUACCGGAUAAUAUAUUGAACCGCAUGGUUCAAUAGUGAAAGACGGUUUUGCUGUCACUUAUAGAUGGAUCCGCGCCGCAUUAGCUAGUUGGUAAGGUAACGGCUUACCAAGGCAACGAUGCGUAGCCGACCUGAGAGGGUGAUCGGCCACACGGGAACUGAGACACGGUACAGACUCCUACGGGAGGCAGCAGUAGGGAAUCUUCCGCAAUGGGCGGAAGCCUGACGGAGCAACGCCGCGUGAGUGAUGAAGGUCUUCGGAUCGUAAAACUCUGUUAUUAGGGAAGAACAAAUGUGUAAGUAACUAUGCACGUCUUGACGGUACCUAAUCAGAAAGCCACGGCUAACUACGUG